ACGCUCGACACCUACGGGAGGCAGCAGUGGGGAAUAUUGCACAAUGGGGGAAACCCUGAUGCAGCAACGCCGCGUGAAGGAAGACGGUUUUCGGAUUGUAAACUUCUGUUCUUAGUGAAGAUAGUGACGGUAGCUAAGGAGCAAGCCACGGCUAACUACGUGCCAACAGUCGCGGUAAUCUGAGCGGGCUGGCAAGGC
rnacentral:rRNA from 1 species